rnacentral:rRNA from 1 species
GCUCCGGUUUGAACUCAGAUCAUGUAAGAAUUUAAAGGUCGAACAGAYCUAUAUAUUAAGCGGCUACACCUAAUUAUUAUCUUAAUCCAACAUCGAGGUCGCAAGCCUCCCGUAAAUAUGAACUCUGGAGGAGGAUUACGCUGUUAUCCCUAAGGUAACUUAAUCUAACAAUCACUAUUAAUGGAUCUAAUACUCAUAAAUCAAUGUUAUAAAAAUAAAAAAGUUUAUCAUAUAUUUUUGUCACCCCAACAAAAUAUAUUCUGAAAUAAAAAUAUUAAUAUAAAAAUCUUUAAAUAAAAAUAUAUAAAGAUCUAUAGGGUCUUCUCGUCUUCCAAUCAUAUUUUAGCUUUUUGACUAAAAAAUUAAAUUUUAAAACAAAUGAAAUGAGACAGCCAGUUCCUCGUUAAACCUUUCAUUCCAGCCCUCUAUUAAAAGACUAAUGAUUAUGCUACCUUUGCACGGUCAGUAUACCGCGGCCGUUAAAUAUAAUCACUGGGCAGGUCAGACCUUAUACUAAAACUCAAAAGGACAUGUUUUUGUUAAACAGGCGAGAACUAUAUUUGCCGAGUUCCUUAAAUCAUCAUAUUAUAUAUAAAAUUAAAUACAUUUUACUAUACUAAUUUAAUCAUUAUUUCAUGAAUUAUAUUAUUAAAAUCAUUAUUUUAAUAGAAAACUAAAAUAAAAAUAAAUUAAUUAAUAAUUAAAAUCAAUUAUAACACACUGUUUAAUGAUGGAUAAUUUUAACCCUACAAAAAUUAAAUUAAUUAAUACUUAUAGAAUUAUUUAGAGCUUAUCCCCUAAAAAAUUUUUAUCAUCAAAUAAUAAAUAAAAAAAUAUAAAAAUUAAUUAAUGAAAAUAAAUUAAAUUUAUUUCUUAAAAAACUAGAUACCUUCAAAACCGACUAAAAUUUCUCCCCUAAUUUAUAUUUUUAAUAAUUAUGAUACAUUAACUAAAAUAAUAAAUUAGCUCUUCUGAAAUCGAGAAUACACAUUAAUAAAUUCUAUAAUUGAUUAACCCUGAUACAAAAGGUACUGCAAAAUAAACAUACUUAUUAAAGAUUUAAUUUUAAAUUCUAUUUCAUCCAUUCCUUCACAGUAAUAAUAAACUAUAACAACAAAUAUUUUUCUUUAAUAUACUAAAAGCAAAGAUAUUUCUCAAAUACAAAAAAAAUUAUAUUAAGUAAGAUUAUAAUCAAAUUA